rnacentral:rRNA from 1 species
GGGAAUCUACCGUGCCCUGCGGAAUAGCUCCGGGAAACUGGAAUUAAUACCGCAUACGCCCUACGGGGGAAAGAUUUAUCGGGGUACGAUGAGCCCGCGUUGGAUUAGCUAGUUGGUGGGGUAAAGGCCUACCAAGGCGACGAUCCAUAGCUGGUCUGAGAGGAUGAUCAGCCACAUUGGGACUGAGACACGGCCCAAACUCCUACGGGAGGCAGCAGUGGGGAAUAUUGGACAAUGGGCGCAAGCCUGAUCCAGCCAUGCCGCGUGAGUGAUGAAGGCCUUAGGGUUGUAAAGCUCUUUCACCGGUGAAGAUAAUGACGGUAACCGGAGAAGAAGCCCCGGCUAACUUCGUGCCAGCAGCCGCGGUAAUACGAAGGGGGCUAGCGUUGUUCGGAAUUACUGGGCGUAAAGCGCACGUAGGCGGAUAUUUAAGUCAGGGGUGAAAUCCCAGAGCUCAACUCUGGAACUGCCUUUGAUACUGGGUAUCUUGAGUAUGGAAGAGGUAAGUGGAAUUGCGAGU